rnacentral:lncRNA from 1 species
GGGCGCCAUAGGAACUUAGGAAGCUCGACUCAAAUUUAAUACAGGUUGGUAUGUUAAUUGAGUUCUAUUUUUUCAAUUAGUAUACCAAUUAUCUUUUUAAUAUUGUUGCAACUCUACUUCAAUCCUGGUUUGUUUUAUUGUAGCCAAAAGAAAAAUAAAAGUAAGUGAAGUCAAUAUUUUUUUUUUGGUUUUAUGGCAGGUGAUUCAAAUAUUAGCAUUGUUGUUUUUCGGUUCUUAUGCCUCCCUCUGCUUUGGAUCGUCAAGGUCAGUGACCUUAUUUAGUAUACUAUUAUUAUUCAGUUUGCAUAUAUAUAUAUACACAUAAAUUUUGAACAUAUGGUAUAAAAAUUAAAAGAUAAAUCAACAUUAGUUAUCAGUUGAAAAUGAGUUAAGGGUGAAAAACAUACCUAAAGUAUUCUGUUUUCCUAAAUUUCAUACCUGAAUUAUCAAGUAUUUGAUUUUCUAUCUAAAGUAUCACAAAGUAUCUAGCAAAACACACUCGAACUAUCAGUUGAUGUUGAGUUUCAGGAUUUUUAGAGCUGGCCGGAAGUCAAGUCACGUAUCGUGGUACAAAUCCGUGUCUCAUGUCGAUUUAGGAUCAAGGUCUUGGGUCAGGGUAUCAAGUUGGGACUAAAAACUGGGACCCCGAUUGAGGAUAGAAGUCAGGAUUGGAAUCGAAUGUCAAGGUCGGGAUGAGUUGAUUUUGCAAUCAGGGUUGGGUCUCAAUUGAGAGCCAAGACCUAUCCUUUAGAUUGUUACCUAAUUAUUUAUUUUGAU